UCCGAGUUGACCCCGGCAGUCUCCCACGAGCCCCCACCAUUACGUGCUGGCAACUAAGGACGGGGGUUGCGCUCGUUGCGGGACUUAACCCAACACCUCACGACACGAGCUGACGACAGCCAUGCAACACCUGUAUACGGCCCAAAAGGACCCGACAUCUCUGCCGGUACACCGUAUAUGUCAAGCCCAGGUAAGGUUCUUCGCGUUGCAUCGAAUUAAUCCGCAUGCUCCGCCGCUUGUGCGGGCCCCCGUCAAUUCCUUUGAGUUUUAACCUUGCGGUCGUAAUCCCCAGGCGGGGUGCUUAAUGCGUUAGCUGCGGCACGGAGGGAGUGGAUAACCCCCCACACCUAGCACCCAUCGUUUACGGCGUGGACUAC
rnacentral:misc_RNA from 1 species